rnacentral:rRNA from 3 species
AGACCCGAAACCCGGUGAUCUAGCCAUGGGCAGGUUGAAGGUUGGGUAACACUAACUGGAGGACCGAACCGACUAAUGUUGAAAAAUUAGCGGAUGACCUGUGGCUGGGGGUGAAAGGCCAAUCAAACCGGGAGAUAGCUGGUUCUCCCCGAAAGCUAUUUAGGUAGCGCCUCGUGAAUUCAUCUCCGGGGGUAGAGCACUGUUUCGGCUAGGGGGCCAUCCCGGCUUACCAACCCGAUGCAAACUGCGAAUACCGGAGAAUGUUAUCACGGGAGACACACGGCGGGUGCUAACGUCCGUCGUGAAGAGGGAAACAACCCAGACCGCCAGCUAAGGUCCCAAAGUCAUGGUUAAGUGGGAAACGAUGUGGGAAGGCCCAGACAGCCAGGAUGUUGGCUUAGAAGCAGCCAUCAUUUAAAGAAAGCGUAAUAGCUCACUGGUCGAGUCGGCCUGCGCGGAAGAUGUAACGGGGCUAAACCAUGCACCGAAGCUGCGGCAGCGACACUGUGUGUUGUUGGGUAGGGGAGCGUUCUGUAAGCCUGUGAAGGUGUGUCGUGAGGCAUGCUGGAGGUAUCA